ensembl:misc_RNA Metazoa_SRP Metazoan signal recognition particle RNA
GCCAGGCAUGGUGGUGGGCGCCUGUAAUCCCAGCUACUCAGGAGGCUGAGGUGGAAGAAUCGCUUGAACCCAGGAGGUAGAGGCUGCAGUGAGCCGAGAUUUUACCACUGCACCCCAGCCUGGGUGACAGAGCGAGACUCCAUCUCAA